rnacentral:rRNA from 1 species
UACGAGGGGUCCUAGCGUUGUUCGGAAUCAUUGGGCGUAAAGCGCUCGUAGGUGGCUUAGUAAGUUGGGUGUGAAAGCCCAGGGCUCAACCCUGGAAGUGCACUCAAAACUGCAUAGCUUGAGUACGGUAGAGGUGAGUGGAAUUCCUGGUGUAGUGGUGAAAUACGUAGAUAUCAGGAGGAACAUCGGUGGCGAAGGCGGCUCACUGGACCAGUACUGACACUGAGGAGCGAAAGCAUGGGGAUCAAACAGG